rnacentral:lncRNA from 1 species
GAACAAAAGACUUGACAUGGAGAAAGCAACAUUCACGAACACAAUACAAAGGCAUGCACCACGCCCAGUUUAUCUGAAUCCAUAACAGUGCAGUAAAGGUACAUUGUACGUCCGNCUCUCUCUCUCUCUAUAUAUAUAUAUAUAUAUAUAUAUAUAUAUAUAUGGUUAAUGUGGAUGCAACAAAAGAGUUUUUUUUCUAAGAACAAAAGACUUGACAUGGAGAAAGCAACAUUCACGAACACAAUACAAAGGCAUGCACCACGCCCAGUUUAUCUGAAUCCAUAACAGUGCAGUAAAGGUACAUUGUACGUCCGGUAACAAAACUAAAGCCACUCAAUGUGCUUCCACCUUUUUUUUAUUGUCAACACUGGAUUAUUAACAUCAGUCCAGUUGUUUCCUCAUAAACUCAGUAUAAGAUGCUCCCUUCAUUCUACAAUGUAGUGCACCCACGCUUCCUGAGAUCUAAGUUGAAGUAUGUGAGAUCAUAGUUAUAAAUUUCGCCGGGGUAGCACAAUUACAUGAAAGAGUGCAUACAGUACCCAAAGCUAUCACUACAAGUCUACAACUGAGAGGACUGUCGGACGGGCACAUUUCUUCAGUAUGUAUAGAGUCUGUCUACCCUACAAUAGUUAAGCUGCAAAAAGGAAAAUUACAAGAUGACCAGACCAGAACAAGUGUUCCACUACUAUAGAAUUCAGUAGCUUCCACACAGCGAAAGAUGGAACUCAAAACAUCAGUGCAAGCUUUGCCAGCUGCAAUUAACUUCAAAAACCAGAGCAAUAGGUAAUGCCAGCGCUUACUCCACUGCAGAUUUUUCAGAAAUCUAGCAAAAGGAAAACCUUCUUAUUUCAGAUUAAGGUGAAGAUGACUCCUGCAGUUCCGACUGACUGUUCUGAACUAUUCGAGACGUCAGCUUAGAUAUCUCAAAAAUUGUAACGGCGAUGAAGCAACGAGCAGAACAGAGAUGCAGCAACGAAAAAGAUCAU